GGGAGCCCCAAAUCUUCAGCCACAAAUCCAAGAAGCCGAAGAAGAAGACAAGAAUGUCGAGGCGCUCUGCUAAACCUAGAUGCUUCUGCAAAUUAACAGCAACGAUGAAGACCUCAUGGACAAAUUGGAACCCAGCAAGAAGAUAUGUGGUCUGCCCAGGAGAGGUAAGAUUUUUUCUGGAAAUGAUGCCUUUACCAGAAGAAGAGUGAGCUCUGAAAGCCAUCUUGCGGAGAAGCUCCCAGCCUUCGUCUGGGUUAAGAAAUCUCAUCCGGUGAAUGAAUCCUUUGUCGUCGGCUAAUGAAGAAGCAAUCUUGUCUGCAACUCCGACAUCCC
rnacentral:lncRNA from 1 species